UAGCUCAGUCGGUAGAGUACAUCCAUGGUAAGGAUGUGGUCAUCGGUUCGAUUCCGAU
rnacentral:tRNA from 1 species